AGAGUUUGAUCAUGGCUCAGGAUGAACGCUAGCGGCAGGCCUAAUACAUGCAAGCUGAACGGUAAAUAUUGUAGCAAUACGAUAUGAGAGUAGCGUAAGGGUGCGUAACACGUAUGCAAUCUGCCCUGUACAGGAGGAUAGCUCGGCGAAAGCCGGAUUAAUACUUCGUAAUAUAUUGUUGGGGCAUCCCGGUGAUAUUAAAGUCGCAAGAUGGUACAGGAUGAGCAUGCGUCUGAUUAGCUAGUUGGUAGUGUAACGGACUACCAAGGCGAUGAUCAGUAGGGGAACUGAGAGGUUGAUCCCCCACACUGGCACUGAGAUACGGGCCAGACUCCUACGGGAGGCAGCAGUAGGGAAUAUUGGUCAAUGGAUGCAAGUCUGAACCAGCCAUGCCGCGUGCAGGAAGAAGGCCUUCUGGGUUGUAAACUGCUUUUGCCGGGGGAUAAAAUUCCCAUGCGUGGGACAUUGAAGGUACCCGGUGAAUAAGCCACGGCUAACUACGUGCCAGCAGCCGCGGUAAUACGUAGGUGGCAAGCGUUGUCCGGAUUUAUUGGGUUUAAAGGGUGCGUAGGCGGCUUAGUAAGUCAGUUCUGAAAUAUCCCGGCUUAACCGGGAGGGUGGGAUUGAUACUGCUGAGCUUGAGUGGAUUCGAGGUAGGCGGAAUUGACGGUAGCGGUGAAAUGCUUAGAUAUCGUCAAGAACACCGAUAGUGUAGACAGCUUACUAGACUUCAACUGACGCUGAGGCACGAAAGUGUGGGGAUCAAACAGGAUUAGAUACCCNNGUAGUCC
rnacentral:rRNA from 1 species